GAUGAACGCUGGCGGCGUGCCUAAUACAUGCAAGUCGAGCGAACGGACGAGAAGCUUGCUUUUCUGAUGUUAGCGGCGGACGGGUGAGUAACACGUGGAUAACCUACCUAUAAGACUGGGAUAACUUCGGGAAACCGGAGCUAAUAUCGGAUAAUAUUUUGAACCGCAUGGUUCAAAAGUGAAAGACGGUCUUGCUGUCACUUAUAGAUGGAUCUGCGCUGCAUUAGCUAGUUGGUAAGGUAACGGCUUACCAAGGCAACGAUGCAUAGCCGACCUGAGAGGGUGAUCGGCCACACUGGAACUGAGACACGGUCCAGACUCCUACGGGAGGCAGCAGUAGGGAAUCUUCCGCAAUGGGCGAAAGCCUGACGGAGCAACGCCGCGUGAGUGAUGAAGGUCUUCGGAUCGUAAAACUCUGUUAUUAGGGAAGAACAUAUGUGUAAGUAACUGUGCACAUCUUGACGGUACCUAAUCAGAAAGCCACGGCUAACUACGUG
rnacentral:rRNA from 1 species